UUAAUCCAUUUAACAACUCAACCCAUCAAAUUAAAUGAGUUAUGGGUUGACCCAACUCAUUUUGUUAAAUGGGUUGGAUCAACCCAUAACUCAUUUAACCCUAAACUCAUUUGAUUAUGAGU
rnacentral:pre_miRNA from 1 species